AUUGAACGCUGGCGGCAUGCCUUACACAUGCAAGUCGAACGGCAGCACGGGAGCAAUCCUGGUGGCGAGUGGCGAACGGGUGAGUAAAGUAUCGGAACGUGCCCAGUCGUGGGGGAUAACGUAGCGAAAGUUACGCUAAUACCGCAUACGAUCUAUGGAUGAAAGCGGGGGAUCGCAAGACCUCGCGCGAUUGGAGCGGCCGAUAUCAGAUGAGGUAGUUGGUGGGGUAAAGGCUCACCAAGCCGACGAUCUGUAGCUGGUCUGAGAGGACGAGCGGCCACACUGGGACUGAGACACGGCCAAGACUGCUACGGGAGGCAGCAGUGGGGAAUUUUGGACAAUGGGCGGAAGCCUGAUCCAGCCAUGCCGCGUGCAGGAUUAAGGCCUUCGGGUUGUAAACUGCUUUUGUACGGAACGAAAAGGUUUGGCCUAAUAAGCUGAGCUCAUGACGGUACCGUAAGAACAAGCACCGGCUAACUACGUGCCAGCCGCCGCAGUAACAC
rnacentral:rRNA from 1 species